rnacentral:rRNA from 1 species
GGAGUCUGGUCCGUGUCUCAGUACCAGUGUGGGGGACCUUCCUCUCAGAACCCCUAAGGAUCGACGGCUCGGUGGGCCGUUACCCCGCCGACUACCUAAUCCUACGCAUCCCCAUCCCAUGCCGAUAAAAUCUUUCGUGCAAAUCUGAUGCCAUCUUCGCACAACAUAGGGCAUUAAUCCGUCUUUCAACGGGCUGUUCCCUGGCAGGGGGAAGGUUGGAUACGCGUUACUCACCCGUGCGCCGGUCGCCAUCAUCGGUUGCAAGCAACCAACAUGCUGCCCCUCGACUUGCAUGUGUUAAGCCUGUAGCUAGCGUUCAUC